rnacentral:misc_RNA from 1 species
GUGAAUCAUCGAAUCUUUGAACGCAAAUUGCGCCUUUUUCGGAUGGCAUGGCUGUUUGAGUGCACCAUUUAACAAAUAAUGUGCAUGCUGUGUGUAUUUUUACGCUCACGUGCACACGUUGAUGAGCUUUUCCACAAAAAGAAAAUUAUUUGGUGGCACGUAAUGAACAGCGUGAACUUUCCUCCAGUUUUUCCGAGUGUAGUAACAUUUUUUUUCGGCGCUUGGGUUGUUGUAAAGUG